GACGAACGCUGGCGGCGUGCUUAACACAUGCAAGUCGAACGGAAAGGCCCUGCUUUUGUGGGGUGCUCGAGUGGCGAACGGGUGAGUAACACGUGAGUAACCUGCCCUUGACUUUGGGAUAACUUCAGGAAACUGGGGCUAAUACCGGAUAUGAGCUCCUGCUGCAUGGUGGGGGUUGGAAAGUUUCGGCGGUUGGGGAUGGACUCGCGGCUUAUCAGCUUGUUGGUGAGGUAGUGGCUUACCAAGGCUUUGACGGGUAGCCGGCCUGAGAGGGUGACCGGCCACAUUGGGACUGAGAUACGGCCCAGACUCCUACGGGAGGCAGCAGUGGGGAAUAUUGCACAAUGGGCGGAAGCCUGAUGCAGCAACGCCGCGUGCGGGAUGACGGCCUUCGGGUUGUAAACCGCUUUCGCCUGUGACGAAGCGUGAGUGACGGUAAUGGGUAAAGAAGCACCGGCUAACUACGUG
rnacentral:rRNA from 1 species